rnacentral:piRNA from 1 species
UGGUUGUCUUAACGCUUUGGUAACAAC